rnacentral:piRNA from 1 species
UCAUGUCUUUGAAACACACAGGACUU